rnacentral:rRNA from 1 species
CCCUCACUCCCAACCCAAUGUGAACGUUACCAAACUGUUGCCUCGGCGGGAUCUCUGCCCCGGGUGCGUCGCAGCCCCGGACCAAGGCGCCCGCCGGAGGACCAACCAAAACUCUUAUUGUAUACCCCCUCGCGGGUUUUUUUAUAAUCUGAGCCUUCUCGGCGCCUCUCGUAGGCGUUUCGAAAAUGAAUCAAAACUUUCAACAACGGAUCUCUUGGUUCUGGCAUCGAUGAAGAACGCAGCGAAAUGCGAUAAGUAAUGUGAAUUGCAGAAUUCAGUGAAUCAUCGAAUCUUUGAACGCACAUUGCGCCCGCCAGUAUUCUGGCGGGCAUGCCUGUCCGAGCGUCAUUUCAACCCUCGAACCCCUCCGGGGGGUCGGCGUUGGGGAUCGGCCCUGCCUUGGCGGUGGCCGUCUCCGAAAUACAGUGGCGGUCUCGCCGCAGCCUCUCCUGCGCAGUAGUUUGCACACUCGCAUCGGGAGCGCGGCGCGUCCACAGCCGUUAAACACCCAACUUCUGAAAUGUUGACCUCGGAUCAGGUAGGAAUACCCGCUGAACUUAAGCAUAUCAAUAAGSGRAGGAA